rnacentral:rRNA from 1 species
CGAACGAGGUCCAUGGAGCUUGCUCCGGAAGACCUAGUGGCGAACGGGUGCGUAACACGUGAGAAACCUGUCCCGGACUUGGGAAUAACAGUCGGAAACGACUGCUAAUACCGAAUACCUUCACAUCAUCGCAUGGUGGAGUGAAGAAAGCUUUUGCGGUUUGGGAGGGUCUCGCGGCCUAUCAGCUUGUUGGUGAGGUAACGGCUCACCAAGGCAUCGACGGGUAGCUGGUCUGAGAGGAUGAUCAGCCACACUGGGACUGAGACACGGCCCAGACUCCUACGGGAGGCAGCAGUGGGGAAUAUUGCACAAUGGGCGCAAGCCUGAUGCAGCGAUGCCGCGUGCGGGAAGAAGGCCCUAGGGUUGUAAACCGCUUUCAGCAGGGAAGAAAAUGACGGUACCUGUAGAAGAAGGUGCGGCCAACUACGUGCCAGCAGCCGCGGUGACACGUAGGCACCAAGCGUUGUCCGGAUUUAUUGGGCGUAAAGAGCUCGUAGGCGGUUCAGUAAGUCGGGUGUGAAAACUCAGGGCUCAACCCUGAGAGGCCACUCGAUACUGCUGUGACUUGAGUACGGUAGGGGAGCGGGGAAUUCCUGGUG